rnacentral:rRNA from 1 species
CGAGGGGAGCUAGCGUUAUUCGGAAUUACUGGGCGUAAAGCGCACGUAGGCGGCUUUGUAAGUCAGGGGUGAAAGCCUGGUGCUCAACACCAGAACUGCCCUUGAGACUGCAAGGCUUGAAUCCAGGAGAGGUGAGUGGAAUUCCGAGUGUAGAGGUGAAAUUCGUAGAUAUUCGGAAGAACACCAGUGGCGAAGGCGGCUCACUGGACUGGUAUUGACGCUGAGGUGCGAGAGCGUGGGGAGCAAACAGGAUUAGAUACCCUGGUAGUCCACGCCGUAAACGAUGAUAACUAGCUGUCGGGGCACUUGGUGUUUCGGUGGCGCAGCUAACGCUUUAAGUUAUCCGCCUGGGGAGUACGGCCGCAAGGUUA